rnacentral:rRNA from 1 species
GAUGAACGCUGGCGGCGUGCCUAAUACAUGCAAGUCGAGCGAACAGACGAGGAGCUUGCUCCUCUGACGUUAGCGGCGGACGGGUGAGUAACACGUGGAUAACCUACCUAUAAGACUGGGAUAACUUCGGGAAACCGGAGCUAAUACCGGAUAAUAUAUUGAACCGCAUGGUUCAAUAGUGAAAGACGGUUUUGCUGGAACUUAUAGAUGGAUCCGCGCCGCAUUAGCUAGUUGGUAAGGUAACGGCUUACCAAGGCGACUAUGCGUAUCCGACCUGUGGGAGUGAUCGGCCACACUGGAAGUGAGACAGGGUCCAGACUCCUACGGGAGGCAGCAGUAGGGAAUCUUCCGCAAUAGGCGAAAGCCUGACGGAGCAACGCCGCGUGAGUGAUGACGGUCUUCGGAUCGUAAAACUCUGUUAUUAGGUAAGAACAAAUGUGUAAGUAACUAUGCACGUCUUGACGGUACCUAAUCAGAAAGCCACGGCUAACUACGUG